UAAGUAGUUAAAAUUUGAAAUCACAGCAAGUCAAUAGGAAGCUCUCCUCUGCCAGUCUCCUAAAUCACAAUAUGGCCUUGGUCAAAGCUACCUAGAUGUCCUCAUACAAAUUACAAGCUAUGAUGUCCACCUCAUUCUCUUUCUGGAAGGCUGACCUUAACUGUCCUGCACAUUCCUGACAGAGCAUAUUUGCCCUUUUCCUAUACUAAUAAGCCCUAAAUCUUGUGGGUAACAGCCUGGGGAACUACCUGUCUUGCUACCACUCAAGACCAUGCUUCUGUCCACAAAUUCCCCCCAAUAAAUUACCUUUUACUGACAAA
rnacentral:lncRNA from 1 species